rnacentral:rRNA from 1 species
CCGGGGCCUAGAGCCCCCUGAAGGGUCGUUCGAGACCAGGACGUUGAUAGGCUGGGUGUGGAAGUGCAGUAAUGCAUGGAGCUAACCAGUACUAAUUGCCCGUGCGGCUUGAUCCUAUAACUCAAUAAG